GCGCAGCAGUCGAGAAUACUUUACAAUGUGCGAAAGCACGAUAAGGGAACUCUGAGUGCCUCCUAAGGAGGCUGUUCAGGUGUCUAAAAGCACCUGAAGGAAGGGCUGGGUAAGACCGGUGCCAGCCGCCGCGGUAACACCGGCAGCCCAAGUGGUAGCCACGUUUAUUGGGUCUAAAGCGUCCGUAGCCGGCUGGGUAAGUUCCUUGGGAAAUUUGGCUGCUUAACAGUCAAGCUUUCAGGGAAUACUGCCCGGCUUGGGGACCGGGAGAGGUCAGAGGUACUCCAGGGGUAGGGGUGAAAUCCAUUAAUCCUUGGGGGACCACCGGUAGCGAAGGCGUCUGACCAGACCGGGUCCGACGGUGAGGGACGAAGGCUAGGGGCGCGAACCGGAUUAGAUACCCGCGUAGU
rnacentral:rRNA from 1 species